rnacentral:rRNA from 1 species
GUGGAUUAGAUACCCCGGUAGUCCACGCCGUAAACGAUGAAUACUAGGUGUAGGUGGUAUCGACUCCAUCUGUGCCGACGCAAACGCAUUAAGUAUUCCGCCUGGGGACUACGGCCGCAAGGUUGAAACUCAAAGAAAUUGACGGGGACCCGCACAAGCAGCGGAGCAUGGGGUUUAAUUCGACGCAACGCGAAAAACCUUACCAGAACUUGACAUCUAGUGACGAACCUUGUAAUGAGGUUUUUCCCUUCGGGGACACGAAGACAGGUGUUGCAUGGCUGUCGACAGCU